CAGCACAACAGCAUCGUGCAAUGGAAAAGGGCGGUAACAUUACCUGAUUAAGUGAGGCCAUGGAAAAGUUGCAGUGAUUGAGAGUAAGAUAGAAUUUUGCACUUCUUAGGAGACAAGAAAAAUUAAACAGGCCUUCUGUCCCGCGGAAGAGGAUUCUUUUUUAAGGGUUACAGAGAAAAGUCUUGGAUCCCAUAAGGCACCCUUAUAUUGGAUCAAAAAGUGAUGGGGCUCCUGGUGAGCAACUGCCCAGGCGAGAGGAGGUUGAGAUGGAAAGGAAGAGCAUGGAGGAGAGGAGAAAGACCACCACUUGCCCAGCGCUACUGGCUCUUUCCUCAUCAUGUCUACAAGAAUCACACACUUGAUUUCUGGGAUGAAGGACACUUUCAAGAUGACCUUGUGAGCUACAGAGCAGAGCAACUGCCACACCGAAUCCCUGAAUGACUGCAUAGAACAUAUAGCAACUUAUUUUCUAAGAUGGCCAUGAUCAGUUUCUUCCCUACCCACAUGUACGCAGAGUUCCCCAAUAAGAGAUAGAGCCACCUCCUCUAAUUCUGUGUGAUCUGGGCUAAUUUAAUUGGCUUGACCACUUAACAGAAUGAAAUGUCAUUGUGAGAUUGCCUUGCAGCUUCUGUGAAGGCUUCUUGGAACUCAGUCACUGUUAGGAAGCCUAAAGAGCCCUGUGGAGAGGUCCCUUGGAACUACCUUUAACUUGCCAGCCAUAUGUGUAAAUUAUCCUGGAAGGCUAUACUCUAGCCCCAGCUGAGCUGCCCCAGCUGAUAUCAUGUAAAGCAGAGAACUGACCAGCAGAUCUCAAAUUCUGAAUUUACAAAAUUGUUAAAUAUAAUAAAAAUGAGUACUGCUUUAAGCUGCUAAAUUUUGACAUAAUUUAUUACAUGUCAAUAAAAAACCGAAAA